rnacentral:lncRNA from 1 species
AAAUGCAUGAUAAAAUGCUUUGAGGAUUAUCAGCUCUAGGAUCACUUGGAUCCUAUACAGCAGGUUACCAAAAAUGGGUCUCAUGGAAGAAAUCAUGGCUGAAGACUCUUCAACAUCACCAUUGUACCAGAAGUGGAGGAGAGGGAAAACCUCUCUGAAACAAGGUGGCGAGAUAUCUGUAUGGGAGCUCUGGAAAGUUUAUCAGCUGUGCAAGAUGUUUACACAUUUCUGAAUGCAAAAGGUCUAUUCCACUUAAUCUUCAUAUAGUUCUCAAACAUUAUAACUGAUCUCCAAAUUAUUUUUGAAACUACCUAAGAUUUUCCAGGCAG